AUUGAACGCUGGCGGCAUGCCUUACACAUGCAAGUCGAACGGUAACGGGCCUUCGGGUGCCGACGAGUGGCGAACGGGUGAGUAAUACAUCGGAACGUGCCCGAUCGUGGGGGAUAACGAGGCGAAAGCUUUGCUAAUACCGCAUACGAUCUACGGAUGAAAGCAGGGGACCGCAAGGCCUUGCGCGGACGGAGCGGCCGAUGGCAGAUUAGGUAGUUGGUGGGAUAAAAGCUUACCAAGCCGACGAUCUGUAGCUGGUCUGAGAGGAUGAUCAGCCACACUGGGACUGAGACACGGCCCAGACUCCUACGGGAGGCAGCAGUGGGGAAUUUUGGACAAUGGGCGCAAGCCUGAUCCAGCCAUGCCGCGUGCAGGAUGAAGGCCUUCGGGUUGUAAACUGCUUUUGUACGGAACGAAAAGCCUUCUUUUAAUACAGGAGGGUCAUGACGAUACCGUAAGAAUAAGCACCGGCUAACUACGUG
rnacentral:rRNA from 1 species